rnacentral:tRNA from 1 species
UACUAUGUGGCAGAAUUAAGUGCAUAGAUUUUAAGUGUCUAAAAUAUGGGUAAAACCUUUAUAGUUU